AACGAACGCUGGCGGCAGGCCUAACACAUGCAAGUCGAACGCCCCGCAAGGGGAGUGGCAGACGGGUGAGUAACGCGUGGGAACGUGCCCUUCGGUUCGGAAUAACUCAGGGAAACUUGAGCUAAUACCGGAUACGUCCGUAAGGAGAAAGAUUUAUCGCCGAAGGAUCGGCCCGCGUCGGAUUAGCUAGUUGGUGAGGUAACGGCCCACCAAGGCGACGAUCCGUAGCUGGUCUGAGAGGAUGANCAGCCACACUGGGACUGAGACACGGCCCAGACUCCUACGGGAGGCAGCAGUGGGGAAUAUUGGACAAUGGGCGAAAGCCUGAUCCAGCCAUGCCGCGUGAGUGAAGAAGGCCUUAGGGUUGUAAAGCUCUUUCAGCGGGAAGAUAAUGACGGUACCGCAGAAGAAGCCCCGGCUAACUUCGUGCCAG
rnacentral:rRNA from 1 species